rnacentral:rRNA from 1 species
GACGAACGCUGGCGGCGCGCUUAACACAUGCAAGUCGAACGGAAAGGCCUGCUUUCCCUUGUGGAUUGCGGGUACUCGAGUGGCGAACGGGUGAGUAACACGUGAGUGAUCUGCCCCCAACUUGGGUAUAAGCCUGGGAAACUGGGUCUAAUUCCCGAUAGGACUGCAGGGUGGUGCCUGUGGUGGAAAACGAUUUUCUAGUGGUUGGGGAUGAGCUCGCGGCCUAUCAGCUUGUUGGUGGGGUAAUGGCCUACCAAGGCGGCGACGGGUAGCCGGCCUGAGAGGGUGGACGGCAACAUUGGGACUGAGAUACGGCCCAGACUCCUACGGGAGGCAGCAGUGGGGAAUAUUGCACAAUGGGCGGAAGCCUGAUGCAGCGACGCCGCGUGGGGGAUGACGGCCUUCGGGUUGUAAACUCCUUUCGACCGCGAGGAAGCCACCUGGUUGGAAGGGUGGUGACGGUAGUGGUAGAAGAAGCACCGGCUAACUACGUG